GUUGUCGGGCGAUGGGUAUAAUGGCCGGGGGGGUUGUCAGGUGAUGGUUCUAAUGGCCGGGGGGUUGUCAGGUGAUGGUUCUAAUGGCCGGGGGGUUGUCAGGUGAUGGUUCUAAUGGCCGGGGGGUUGUCGGGUGAUGGGUAUAAUGGACGUGUGGUUGUCAGGUGAUGGUUCUAAUGGCCGGGGGGUUGUCGGGUGAUGGUUCUAAUGGCCGGGGGGUUGUCGGGUGAUGGUUCUAAUGGCCGGGGGGUUGUCGGGUGAUGGUUCUAAUGGCCGGGGGGUUGUCGGGUGAUGGUUCUAAUGGCCGGGGGGUUGUCGGGUGAUGGUUCUAAUGGCCGGGGGUUGUCGGGUGAUGGGUAUAAUGGCCGGGGGGUUGUCAGGUGAUGGUUCUAAUGGACGUGUGGUUGUCAGGUGAUGGUUCUAAUGGACGGGUGGUUGUCAGGUGAUGGUUCUAAUGGACGGGUGGUUGUCAGGUGAUGGUUCUAAUGGACGGGCGGUUGUCAGGUGAUGGUUCUAAUGGACGGGCGGUUGUCAGGUGAUGGUUAUAAUGGACGUGUGGUUGUCAGGUGAUGGUUAUAAUGGACGUUUGGUUGUCGGGUGAUGAUUAUAAUGGAUCUGUUGUCAGGUGAUGGUUAUAAUGGACGUGUGGUUGUCAGGUGAUGAUUAUAAUGGACGUGUGGUUGUCAGGUGAUGGUUCUAAUGGACGGGCGGUUGUCAGGUGAUGGUUCUAAUGGACGGGCGGUUGUCAGGUGAUGGUUCUAAUGGACGGGCGGUUGUCAGGUGAUGGUUAUAAUGGACGUGUGGUUGUCAGGUGAUGGUUAUAAUGGACGUUUGGUUGUCGGGUGAUGAUUAUAAUGGAUCUGUUGUCAGGUGAUGGUUAUAAUGGACGUGUGGUUGUCAGGUGAUGAUUAUAAUGGAUCUGUUGUCAGGUGAUGGUUCUAAUGGACGGGCGGUUGUCAGGUGAUGGUUCUAAUGGACGGGCGGUUGUCAGGUGAUGGUUCUAAUGGACGGGCGGUUGUCAGGUGAUGGUUCUAAUGGACGGGCGGUUGUCGGGUGAUGGUUCUAAUUGACGGGCGGUUGUCGGGUGAUGGUUCUAAUGGACGGGCGGUUGUCGGGUGAUGGUUCUAAUGGACGGGCGGUUGUCGGGUGAUGAUU